UACGGAGGGUGCAAGCGUUGUUCGGAAUCACUGGGCGUAAAGGGCGUGUAGGCGGUCCGCUAAGUCUGAUGUGAAAGCCCGGGGCUCACCCCCGGAAGGGCAUUGGAAACUGGCGGACUCGAGUCCCGGAGAGGAAGGUGGAAUUCCUGGUGUAGCGGUGAAAUGCGUAGAUAUCAGGAGGAAUACCGGUGGCGAAGGCGGCCUUCUGGACAGUGACUGACGCUGAGACGCGAAAGCGUGGGGAGCAAACAGG
rnacentral:rRNA from 1 species